AACGCUAGCGACAGGCCUAACACAUGCAAGGUCGAGGGGCAGCACAAGGAGCAAUCUGAGGUGGCGACGGCGCACGGGUGAAGUAACACGUAUGCAACCUGCCUGGUAAGACCGGGGAAUAACCCGUUGAAAGACGGACUAAUACCGCAUAAUACUAAAUUACUGCAUAUAAUUUAUUUAAACAUUUUAUGGCUUACAGAUGGGCAUGCGCAUGAUUAGCUAGUUGGAGAGGUAACGGCUCCCCAAGGCAACGAUCAUUAGGGGUUCUGAGAGGAAGGUCCCCCACACUGGUACUGAGACACGGACCAGACUCCUACGGGAGGCAGCAGUGAGGAAUAUUGGUCAAUGGACGAGAGUCUGAACCAGCCAAGUCGCGUGCAGGAAGAAUGUCCUAUGGAUUGUAAACUGCUUUUGCAGGGGAAUAAAGUGCAUCACGUGUGAUGUUUUGUAUGUACUCUGCGAAUAAGGAUCGGCUAACUCCGUGCCAGCAGCGGC
rnacentral:rRNA from 1 species